rnacentral:rRNA from 1 species
CCUACGGGCGGCUGCAGUGGGGAAUAUUGGACAAUGGGCGAAAGCCUGAUCCAGCCAUGCCGCGUGUGUGAAGAAGGCCUUCGGGUUGUAAAGCACUUUCAGUGGGGAAGAAAGCCUUGGGGCUAAUACCCUCGAGGAAGGACAUCACCCACAGAAGAAGCACCGGCUAACUCCGUGCCAGCAGCCGCGGUAAUACGGAGGGUGCGAGCGUUAAUCGGAAUUACUGGGCGUAAAGCGCGCGUAGGCGGUCUGAUAAGCCGGUUGUGAAAGCCCCGGGCUCAACCUGGGAACGGCAUCCGGAACUGUCAGGCUUGAGUGCAGGAGAGGAAGGUAGAAUUCCCGGUGUAGCGGUGAAAUGCGUAGAGAUCGGGAGGAAUACCAGUGGCGAAGGCGGCCUUCUGGACUGACACUGACGCUGAGGUGCGAAAGCGUGGGUAGCAAACAGGAUUAGAUACCCCAGUAGUC